rnacentral:rRNA from 1 species
UACGUAGGGGGCAAGCGUUGUCCGGAAUCAUUGGGCGUAAAGCGCGUGUAGGCGGCUCAGUAAGUCCGCUCUGAAAAGCCCGGGGCUUAACCCCCGGGAGGCGGGUGGAUACUGCUGAGCUUGAGUCCGGAAGAGGCGAGUGGAAUUCCCGGUGUGGCGGUGAAAUGCGCAGAUAUCGGGAGGAACACCAAUGGCGAAGGCAGCUCGCUGGGACGUGACUGACGCUGAGACGCGAAAGCGUGGGGGAGCAAAACAGG